GCUCACGGCCAUAUCAGCCUGGGUACGCCCGAUCUCGUCUGAUCUCGGAAGCUAAGCAGGUUCGGGCCUGGUUAGUACUUGGAUGGGAGACCGCCUGGGAAUACCAGGUGCUGUAAGCA
rnacentral:rRNA from 1 species